CAAGGAACUCGUGCGCAGAUCAGAGGUGUGGCAACCCAUACACAGGUAAUAAAAAAGAAACUUAUUCAUUUUUUUUCUUCUCAGUUUUCACUUUCCUAUAUAAAGAAAGUCGAUCGUCAUUUAUCUUUUUCUAUACAUUAAUUUCCAGGCAAUGUAUGCAAACACUUCGAUUUCUACAGGAAUGAAGGGUGCAAGCAAAGCGAUGGCUGCAAUGAACAAGGUUAUCCUAAAUUUAUUUUUAUCUCAAUUCAAUAAAUUUCUUAAUCUCUCCAAAGUUUUGCUUUGGAUUUAGAAAAUGGAGCCUGCAAAGCAAAUGAAAAUUGUGAAGGAGUUCCAGAAACAAUCAACUCAGAUGGACAUGACUGUAAGAUAUUAAGAUUUUAAUCAUUUUAUAAAAUAAUAUGCAAUGCAUACCAAUUAAUCAUCCCUGAACCUGAAUUCUUUUUUAUAUUUUAAAUGCAGAUGGAGAUGAUGUCUGAGGCAAUUGAUGAAACUUUGGAUAAAGAUGAGGCUGAAGAUGAAACUGAAGAGCUUACCAACCAAGUAAUCAUCAUUCUAAUCAUUUUUCCAUCCUUAAACUAAAACAAUUAAACGUAAUUCGUAUACUUUGUGAUUUUAAUCCUUAUAGGUACUCGAUGAAAUUGGAGUUGAUGUUGCCUCACAGGUUAAUGCUUCAAUUGCCCUGAAUAUUGUUUAUUAAAUCUUCUGUUUUUAAAUGUAUAAAUCAGCCUGAUUUUGAUUUGUCUGUUUUUUUGUCUAUAUAGUUGUCCUCGGCUCCCAAGGGUCGUGUUGCUUCUUCCACCUCUGCUAAGAAAAUAGACAGCGAGAACAUUCCAAAGUAAAAACAAAGCAUUUGUUUAUUUUUUUUAGAGAACGAUUCAUAUGAGAUACUUUAGAUGAGAUAGUUAGAAGAUACUCCAUCCAUCUAAUUUUUAUCUUGAGAUUUGUGAAUACAUAUUAUCUCAAUCUCGAGACAAUGAUUUAGUGGUUGAGAUUUUAUCUCUCACCAUUAUUUCAUCUAAUGUAUCUCAUAUGAAUCUACUCCUAUUUUUUUAUUGUUCAGAAAUAAGUAGAUUAUGUGUAUUGUAGGUCUGUAGCUCCUGAGACAUCUGAAGUCGAUGACUUGGAAAAGAGAUUGGCGUCACUUCGUCGAUUAUGAUCUUACUUUGUUUAGGGUUUGAUAUGUUGUCAUUAUCAUGAUUUGAAGCUGAUGAUGUCAUGCUGGAGUUAUGUGCUGCUUUGAACCAUGACUAAGGUUUGUUAUGUUAUCAUUAUAAGAAUAAAUAAGAGCAGGAGUUCAGGAAGAUUGAAGGUCGUUGUAUGGAAACUGUAGUGUAACAACAACUUACCAAACCCAUUAAUACUAUAUGGAAUAAUAUAUUGGUAAUAUGACAUACUUUUGUGGAUUUAUAACAUAUAUAUUUGUACUUUGAACUACUUUUCUACAAAUAGAAAUAUAUAUUUAGGAAUGUUAACCAAGAUUCGUUCGAAUAAACGAAUCGAAUAUUUUAAGUUUGGUUUGUUUAAUAUUUAAUUAUUUAAAUGUGUAUUUUAACUUUUAAGCUAUUCAUUGUUAAAAAAUAAACAUGUUAAAAAAAUAUUUUCAAAAACAAAAAAACAUUAAUUCAUCUUUUGUUUAGUUUAUAGUUUAUUUUAUUUUGUUGUUUCAAUUUUUAGUUUAUCUUUUCUUCUUGUUCAUUGAAAAUCUUACAUUGAAAUUUAUUUUCAACAUAUCAUCAUCCUAAUAAAAAUGUUAAACAUAACAAACCAUUUGUCGAACUUCAAUUUUAACAUAGCAAAUCGAACAAUCUCUAAAUGACAUAUCAGAAUCAUAUAUUAUUGAUUCCAUAAUGAAAAUUAUGUAGAGACUAGAAUUUUGAAUCUUCAAAUUUUUUAAUAGUUAUUGUGAACUCUGUCAUCAUUUGAAUUAAUUUCUCUUAUUUUUAAUUGACAAUUCACAUAGUAUGUUAGAAUUUACCAUUAUCUUAAUAAUGAUUAACUCAUUAAUCAUUAUUAGUUUUAAAAGAAGAAAAAAAUCAUUAAUAAUACAAAAUGUAGUGAUUAAAUGUAGUAGUCUUAGAUCAAGUUAAACAAAAGAUUUAUAGGAAGACGAACGUUUUUAACCAAUGAGAAAAAUAAAACAGAGAAAGUUUUCGUAUAAGCUUUAUGACAACAUUAAACAAUGUAUAGGGAUAUAAUCAUUUUAUUCCUGUACGAUGUUAAAUGUUGGCAUAAAGCUCAUAAAGUUAUUGUCUCCGUAGAUUUUUCCAGUUUCCAUCAUUCAAAAAUAAAAACACAUACAGCAAAGUAGCAAACAGAUGACAUAAAAAGAGCACAACAACCUACCUGGAUUUGAUUGGACGGAUGGAUAUCUGUGACUGAGAAUCUAGUAAAAGGAGGGGCAGUGUAGGUUUGUGCAUAUAAAUAUUCAAGUUAGAGAGAAAUUAGGGUUACGAAAGAUUUGGAAACCAGUAAGAGCCCAUCUAGAAUAGGUAGGCCGUAGGCAGUAAGGUUCCCCAUUGGGUCCGAUCCAACAGGAAUACAUCUGCAAUCUUUUAUUCGACACUUGUGAAACGAAAUUCAGAAAAUAAAUAGUUUAGAAGAAGAAGAAAAAGGUAAAUGACAAGAGAAUUUCAUAAUUUUAGGUUUCAAUACAUACGAAAUUACCAAUCCGUAAAUAUUAACAUUAUUUUAUGAAAAGUUGAAAACAAAUAAAUUACUAAUUAACUACUUAGUUUUUACUUUUGAUAAUUGUAACUUUUAUAUAGAGAGAUUAGAAAGAGAAGUGAAAAUAAUUCAUAUAGCAUUAUCUCAUUUGAAUCUAUCAUUAUAUGUAUAUCAACAUUUUUUGUUAAAUACUCAAAAUAAGAUAUUUUGUGAGAUAUUAGUAGAUUCGUGGUAUCACGACUUCAUGAAGAUUUAGAUAUUAAUGAAAAGAUCACCGACGACGACAUAAACACCGACGAGGAGUUUGACUGUAGGCCCGUCCGAACCAGGCGUAACAAACUGGACAAUAAUUACAUCUAUUAUUAAAUCUAAUUCUAUUGCAAUUAAUUAGAGUUGUUAUGAAUUGGUGGCCAUGGAAAUAGAAAAGACACCCAUUUUUGGGUAUCCAAUUUAUCGAACAAUCAAAAUCCUUCUCGUCUCUGGCUUCCUCGAGAGAAUUCAUGUCCAACCUCCGACUCCCAUUGGGAGAAUACCCUCUGUCGUGUGUUUCUCCUGAAUCACUUACAACUCUUAAGGAAUUGAUCAAUUUAAGGAAUCACUUCACCUGGGAAGAAGUGUGUCUCUGGUCCAGCGAUUAGUGAAUCACGGAUACCUAGAGACGAGCGCAGCGAGGAUAUACCUCUGAUAUCAAGACUCAGUCCGUUACAGAGGAUAGUUGUGAAGCUGUCUGUUCGGAAACUUGAUGCGACUGGAUGAAUGACGAGUGCGAAAGCGACGGUGGAUGAAUUCUUAUCUACUGUCGGAGGAGAUGGAGGUGGUUGAUAAAAAAAAUAAAACUGUUUUAGAAAAGAUUGGUUGCUUUUUUCAUUCACUCAUAAAAUGCUUAAAUAGAUCAAAGUUAGUAACCGUUGGAAGUUACUUCCAU
rnacentral:lncRNA from 1 species